CGGCAGCAUGAUCUAGCUUGCUAGAUUGAUGGCGAGUGGCGAACGGGUGAGUAAUACAUCGGAACGUGCCCUGUAGUGGGGGAUAACUAGUCGAAAGAUUAGCUAAUACCGCAUACGACCUGAGGGUGAAAGUGGGGGACCGCAAGGCCUCAUGCUAUAGGAGCGGCCGAUGUCUGAUUAGCUAGUUGGUGAGGUAAAGGCUCACCAAGGCGACGAUCAGUAGCUGGUCUGAGAGGACGAUCAGCCACACUGGGACUGAGACACGGCCCAGACUCCUACGGGAGGCAGCAGUGGGGAAUUUUGGACAAUGGGCGAAAGCCUGAUCCAGCAAUGCCGCGUGUGUGAAGAAGGCCUUCGGGUUGUAAAGCACUUUUGUCCGGAAAGAAAUGGCUCUGGUUAAUACCUGGGGUCGAUGACGGUACCGGAAGAAUAAGGACCGGCUAACUACGUGCCAGCAGCCGCGGUAAUACGUAGGGUCCAAGCGUUAAUCGGAAUUACUGGGCGUAAAGCGUGCGCAGGCGGUUGUGCAAGACCGAUGUGAAAUCCCCGAGCUUAACUUGGGAAUUGCAUUGGUGACUGCACGGCUAGAGUGUGUCAGAGGGGGGUAGAAUUCCACGUGUAGCAGUGAAAUGCGUAGAGAUGUGGAGGAAUACCGAUGGCGAAGGCAGCCCCCUGGGAUAACACUGACGCUCAUGCACGA
rnacentral:rRNA from 1 species